CAGGAAUUAUUUGUAUUUUGCAUUUGUUAAUUGACACUUAUUAACUACUGGGUCAUGCGCUAUAAGAUGAUACGAGUGCUGCGACUAUCGUAAGUCGACGAUAGAAUUUCAACAGUGGAAGGAGGCCCUGAAUUCUGUGUUGCGGAAGGAAACUAGCUUUGGGAUCAAGACUGACGUUCCAGAUGACAUAAAUAUUGUCAGAUAAGGUUUUUAUUUGCUGUUGUUCACCUUUGAAAAAUGACAAAUUCCUACCAUUCGACUGGACAUUUUGUUCUUAAACUGAACUAUGAGAUGUCCUCAGUCUCUGUUACAAGCAGCAACACAGGUUCAAGGUUAUCUUAACGAGGUAGGUAAUCAGUACAAGGCCCUCAUUUGCAAACUUAAAAACUUUGCAUGAAACUAUAUUUUCCUUGGAAUAUACUAUAUAUUACAUGUGUAUAUUAAUGGGAAAUACUAAACAUCUAAGUGUGAAAUAAGUAGUUGAGUCUAUCAUUAUAGGCCAAUGCGAUAUCUUCUUCCUUGUACAUGUUAACCAAAGUAUUAUUUGCACUCACAUCGGCAGUGUCCUCCACACUCUACAGGCCCUGGUUUAAGGGCCAGGGGUGGCCCUGGUUUGAGGGCAAGGGGUGGCCCUGGUUUGAGGGCCAAGGGUAGCCCAGUCACCUAAGGUGCUGCAGUGUGCUGCAAUUCCUCCCUCAGGCAUGCCGUGAACCUGUGAUCAUGGGUUCGAAUCCUAGAUCCACCUUGAUUGUCACGGUGUUUUCUGUACCAUACCCGUGUUGUGGGUUUCACCAGAGUGGUAAACGUCGAAGAACUGCAUCACUCUGUCUUUCCUCCUAACACAAACUGAAACACCAUGUAUAUUACUCAAAAAGAAGUUAAAGACAGCCCAAUGUUUUCUUAUGACUAUAGUUAGUCUGUCAUGGCUGGUGGGUGCACACAACCUUCCAUUUGUGGGUGUUCUUUGACUUGUUUUGAGUAGUAUAUGUGAAAUACUGUUCACAGUUGUGUGAAGCACAACCGAUUUACUAGCACCUUGCAUCUGUACUGGCAGUGGGCUAGUGUUAAUUGCCAUAUUAAACUGUAUAUUCAUGUCUUGGACCCUGAACUUUGUCGGAUCUGGUGCUGAAGGCUGCUGUCAGGCCCAAACUUAAAACUCUAUGGUUAUAACUGUCAUACAAAGUUACAAUCUUUUUCCUAUUGUUUUGCUAUUGUGCAGUGUUUUUCCCAUUGCUGAUACCAUGGAUACUCUGAUUUCUGUCAUGACUUCAUGGAGGCAGUACAUGCUCCUUUUUAUGCUCCAUUCGUCAAAGCUUUGGAAAAUUUGGCUUUGACAUUGCAUGGAAACCAUGACCUAGUGCUUAUGACCUUAACCUUGUGCUUAUGACACUGGACUUUGUGCUGAUGACCUUGAUCGAGUGUUUACGACCUUGACCUUUUUCGCUGCCCCAGCAAUUACUGAAUAAGGUGGAAUCUGGCUGAAUCAAUUCAGGUUUGAGCCUGGGACCAUUGAAACCAGUAAGUUAGUCAGGACAAUUGGGAGUGUGUAUGUUUUAUACGGUUGACUUAGAACAUAUGUUACACACAAGGCAUGCCCUCUUAGCUAAAGUAUAUUUUGUAAUUUUUUUAUCGCAACUUUAACUUUUAUUGUGACGGCUUGAUGUUUGUAUCCCCCUGCCAUACCUAAUGUAUGGUGAUCUGUUAAGGUCAUAUUUUCAUAGGAUUUGUUUUUUUUCCAUUGGUAUUCAUGACCAUUGAGUCUGUUAUUGUUGUUUAUAUGCUGGCUCACAAGCUGAUCCAAUUCUUAUUGUAUGACUGUUUUGACAGUGCUAUGUAUAUUGUUGUUUUUUUCUAAGAUAUGUCCACUGUUAUAUAUACAUACUUUCUACCGGGCGGUAUGGCUCAUAUCCCCCUCCAUGCAGUACCCUCUCCUGUACAUAUACAACUGUUUAUACCCUGUGUACAAUGUUUGUUACUUGCUGUCCUCACUUCCCUGUACAUAAGCUAUCAUCAUUCAUGGAGGCUGCUGACUCCUUGUCAUUGUCUUGGAUACAUUUCAAAUUGUUCAUGUAUGUCAAAAAUAGUUUGGCUGGAAGAUGAAUGUCCCAAGAUUGAGUUAUUUUUUAACAGGGCCUCGAUUUCAUAAUCAACUCACACCAAUUUGUAAAAUAUUGCAUUACUACAUUUGAAGGGCACUUGGCCUUGGUUUGGCUGGCAGUUCCAGGAACACUGUCCCUCCUGAACUAUAAGGGUAAAUGUAAAGUGGCUUGGUAAAGUCACAGUGACGGUGUAGGACAGGCUGAGUGAGGGGUGGGGAAUGUAUUUCCAGCCAAACUAUAUUUUUCACCAACACUAAUCUCUGGCCACAAGAAAUUAAUUAUUACAUUAUGAUCCAAAUUUAUCAAUGUAGUGAAGGAGGAGGGGGUUUUAUUUUUAAAAACAUCAUCUUUCAAGGUCACGAUUGAAAGUGAGCGUAUGUCGUUGUCUGCUGGUCUGCUUGUCUUCUGUAAAAUUCUCCUCCUCAGAAUCCACAAGACCAAUGAAGCUGACACUUCACAUGUUUAUUCCCAACAAUGAUGGCACUGAAUCUGUUGAAGAGGUUGGAAUCAGUUUUUCAAUAUGGCCACCAUGGCAGCCAUUUUGAAAAAGAUAUUUAUGACCAUUACUCAGUCAUUGUUCAAUAUGUGAUUAAAGUUAUUAUCUAGUUAGCUAUCUGUGAGUCAUGCUGUUAAAUCUCUCCAUGUGCUGUAAAACUUCUAUGAAAGGGGCGGUCGGGUAGCCUACUGUAAUGCCGAAGACCCGGGUUCGAUUCCCGACAUGGGUACAAUGUGUGAAGCCCAUUUCUGGUGUCCCCCGCCGUGAUAUUGCUGGAAUAUUGCUUAAAGCGGCGUAAAACCUCACUCACUCACUCACUCCUAUGAAAUUGUAAGACUUUGUCAUGUAUGUUUCCCCUUUAGAUGACAUUUUGGUCAAUUCAUUAGACUUUAGUUCUAGUGUUUAGUAUUUAUACAGAGAAUAGAUGAAAAUCAAUGCAGACAGCAGAAUUAGGUUCAGACUGCCUUUGUUUUUUAAAACUGUUGCGUACAUAUCCAGGUGAGCUACAGUUCCCUGACACUAUUGUUUUUGUAACAGUUCUGUUAUAAUGAAAUAUGAAGGUGAGAGGACAGGGUGAUAAUGUAGCAAUCAAUUUUUGUUGGCCUUUGGUGUUUAUAUGAGUUCUUGAAGCUGUACUUAAUACAAUGCCGCUUGGUUGCCCUGCUUGCAGUGUUCUCAUGACCUGUCUCAUGCCCUGUACAUCCAGCAUCACCCACCCCCUCCAAUCACAGGACCUGAUUCUUCAAGCUCCCUCCCAGCGCUUGACACCUUCGUUACGCUCUCGGUAACAUCGCUGUCACCAGUAGGGGCACGCCCAUUACAAGAAUCUUGAAAUUUGCCCUCUAAUCCCAUAUCAUAGUGAAUUUUGAAAAGGUUUAUGACUGACCAUAAUUUGCAGAUGAAUUUACCAUUUUGUUUGUUUGAUCAGAUUGGUUCACAAUUGCAGACAAAUGGAAAAUCAACCAACUUCCCCCUUACAGUCUAACAAUAUCAAUUACAUGAUAGUUGUCAUGAAACGCAAAUUCAGAUUGAUAAACAAAGAAAAUAAUAUAGCAAGCGUAAGAGUAUCCACGUCACGGCAUUAUCACUUGGUUGUAAACAUAACGGUCAUUCGGCUGUGAAUUCAACUCCAUGCAUGGUUGUGGCCACGCAUCACAGUGGGGAGGUUUGACUGGUGGCAGUGAUAGUAUAGAGAGCUCCGGGGUAUCACUGUGAGGAGCUUGCGGAUUCUGGUCAUAUUCCACAUCCUGUCACCAUGGAUACUACAAUCAAAUAUUGUCACAAUAUGUGAAAUGGCCUUCAGGUAUUCCAAAGAAAUGAAAUUGGGCACCAAGUGCUAAAUAUGUUCCGUUUUAGGUCCAUAUGUGGCAGUUUGUGGAAUUGGUUUUUCAUAUUCACUAACCACUGUUAUGCAAACCUUUGCCACUAUAAGUGGUGUAUAAAUGUGUAUAUUGCCAGUGUGGUGUAUGUCUAGUUAUCUCCAGUGUUCACUGAGGGUACUGUGUGAAGGGCUGAUGUCCCUGCCACCUAUCCUGCUUGACUGCUGUAUAUGAAGUUGUGGGUGGCCUCUCGACGCUCACGGCUCCCAUGCAUGUAUAAAGAAAAUGCAUAAAUGUUUCAAACCAUCAA